AGAGUUUGAUCAUGGCUCAGGAUGAACGCUAGCUACAGGCUUAACACAUGCAAGUCGAGGGGAAACGACAUCGAAAGCUUGCUUUUGAUGGGCGUCGACCGGCGCACGGGCGAGUAACGCGUAUCCAACCUGCCCACCACUUGGGGAUAACCUUGCGAAAGUAAGACUAAAUACCCAAUGACGUCUCUAGAAGACAUCUGAAAGAGAUUAAAGAUUUAUCGGUGAUGGAUGGGGAUGCGUCUGAUUAGCUUGUUGGCGGGGUAACGGCCGACCAAGGCGACGAUCAGUAGGGGUUCUGAGAGGAAGGUCCCCACAUUGGAACUGAGACACGGUCCAAACUCCUACGGAGGCA
rnacentral:rRNA from 1 species